UAGCUGGGUAGGGUAGAGUUCUCUUGUCAUGAAGCCAAUUGGCAAAUUCAGAGUGAAAGGCUGCAGGAGAAAUUGCCAAGGUGUUCAAGCUUUGUGUCUGGAGAGCAGGCGGUGGACGUGUCUCCCCUGCAAGGGCAGGCACUUUCAGGAUAUGCAGAGCUGACAUACAUUAGAGGUUGGUUCAUUAGGAGGACCAGCUCUGAAUGACAGCUCUUUCCAAUGGACUCCUGGUGUGAUGGCAAGAGACAAGUUCCAUGUGCUGAUAUCCCCCAGCAAAAGACUAUUUUAGGAUUAUCCUAAAGGAAAAUGUUGCUAAAGGUUGUAGUCAGCUGAUUUUUCUGAAAGAACCCAGAUGCUAGGAUACUACUGCAGUAACUUCAGUGCAAACAUACUCAAACACAGACAGACGUAUGCAUGCCAAAGCAUUAAUACCAGUGGGUAAUCUAUUUGAGAUUCACUUCAGCUCCAGCACCAUUCUGCAAUUGGCUUAGAUUCUUAGCAGCAAUAGGAAUCGUACAAUAUUGCAGUGAUAUUACUGAAAUAAAUAUCACAUACUAAACAUAGUAUAAAAUACACAGUACUCAACAAUUUCCAAAGCACUGUAUGAAGUAAUACGAGUUCUUUUGUUAAAGGUCACAGGUAGGAAAGAAGGAAUAUUCAGUCACUCUGGAGAUGGAUUCUCACCACCACACCUAUACACAGGUAACCCACAACGUGACACAAUAGCAAGUACACAUGAAAGAAGCUCCAGGUUAACAUUUCAUGACAUGGUAUCUAUCACAGUGCCUGUUUUCUCCUGUAUAGGUAACCCACAACGUGACAGAAUAGCAAGUAAACAUGAAAGAAGCUCCAGGUUAACAUUUCAGAUUUCAAUUUUUUUUUUCAAAAUGUAAGUCUUCCUUUAAUCAAUACACCCUUUAGUAAAUAUUUUGAAGUUUACAUUAAAAUUUUCUUCUAUUACUUAAUAUUUCCAUUUGUGGUUUGGUGGAUAUCUGAUAUUACUGAAAUACAUAGUAUAAAGUACACAGUACGCAACAAUUUCCAAAGCACUGUAUGAAGUAAUACGAGUUCUUUUGUUAAAGGUCACAGGUAGGAAAGAAGGAAUAUUCAGUCACUCUGGAGAUGGAUUCUCACCACCACACCUAUACACAGGUACUUUAUUACAGACCAAUGCAGGGUGAUAUAUGGCCAUUUGCUGCUGCCAAUGCCCACAGGACGGUGGAAGGACAUGGCUGCCAGGAUCCCCC
rnacentral:lncRNA from 1 species